AAGUGUGUUGGCAGACUAGUGCAAUUGAUUUAGGAUCAAUUUAUGGAUAUAAUCCACACACUAUA
rnacentral:tRNA from 1 species